rnacentral:rRNA from 1 species
GAUGAACGCUGGCGGCGUGCCUAAUACAUGCAAGUCGAGCGAACAGACGAUGAGCUUGCUCCUCUGACGUUAGCGGCGGACGGGUGAGUAACACGUGGAUAACCUACCUAUAAGACUGGGAUAACUUCGGGAAACCGGAGCUAAUACCGGCUCAUAUAUUGAACCGCAUGGUUCAAUAGUGAAAGACGGUUUUGCUGUCACUUAUAGCUGGAUCCGCGCCGCAUUAGCUAGUUGGUAAGGUAACGGCUUACCAAGGCAACGAUGCGUAGCCGACCUGAGAGGGUGAUCGGCCACACUGGAACUGAGACACGGUCCAGACUCCUACGGGAGGCAGCAGUAGGGAAUCUUCCGCAAUGGGCGAAAGCCUGACGGAGCAACGCCGCGUGAGUGAUGAAGGUCUUCGGAUCGUAAAACUCUGUUAUUAGGGAAGAACAAAUGUGUAAGUAACUAUGCACGUCUUGACGGUGCCUAAUCAGAAAGCCACGGCUAACUACGUG